rnacentral:rRNA from 1 species
AAGGAUCAUUAUUGAAAUGCUUUGGAGAAGUGCUGUUGCUGGCCUCUUACGAGGUAUGUGCACGCCUUCUUUAAAUCUAUUCAUCCACCUGUGCACUUAUUGUAGGAGUUCUUUUAGGUUGGUCUAUGAGCUUUCAAGCUUGCAGUCAGCCUCGAAAGGCUUCUAUGUCUUACAAACUCUAUUAAAGCAUGUUUUAGAAUGUCUUUUAUUGGGACUUAACUGACCCUUUAAACUUGUACAACUUUCAGCAACGGAUCUCUUGGCUCUCCCAUCGAUGAAGAACGCAGCGAAAUGCGAUAAGUAAUGUGAAUUGCAGAAUUCAGUGAAUCAUCGAAUCUUUGAACGCACCUUGCGCCCUUUGGUAUUCCGAAGGGCAUGCCUGUUUGAGUGUCAUUAAAUUCUCAACUUCAAAAGCUUUUACAGCUUAUUGAAGCUUGGAUGUGGGAGCUUGCUGGCGUCUUAGAUGUUCGGCUCUCCUUAAAAGCAUUAGUGGAAACUCGUUUGUUGGACCACCCUUGGUGUGAUAAUUAUCUACACUUUGGUCAGUCUGACGGCUCUAAUUGGAUGAUUUUCAGACGCCUUUCAAGUGUUCUGGUUUGGGUGGUUGCGUUUAACUAUGCUCUGCCUGCAUUCAAUAGAGUAGGGAUGUCUGCUUUCUAACCGUCUGUGUAUCAGACAAUCUAUUGACUAUUUGACCUCAAAUCAGGUAGGACUACCCGCUGAACUUAA